rnacentral:rRNA from 1 species
CCUACGGGAGGCAGCAGUAGGGAAUUUUCCACAAUGGGCGAAAGCCUGAUGGAGCAACGCCGCGUGCAGGAUGAAGGCCCUCGGGUCGUAAACUGCUUUUAUAUGUGAAGACUUCGACGGUAACAUAUGAAUAAGGAUCGGCUAACUCCGUGCCAGCAGCCGCGGUAAU